AACGAACGCUGGCGGCGCGUCUUAAGCAUGCAAGUCGAACGGCAAGAUUAGUGCUUGCACUAAUCCUAGAGUGGCGGACUGGUGAGUAACGCGUGGGUGACGUACCCUUCUGAUGGGGAUAGCUACUAGAAAUAGUAGAUAAUACCGAAUACGAUUCCGUAAGUUAGAGGUGCGGAAUGAAAGGAGCUUCGGCUCCGCGGAAGGAACGGCCCGCGUACCAUUAGCUAGUUGGUGUGGUAACGGCAUACCAAGGCGAUGAUGGUUACCCGGCCUAAGAGGGUGAUCGGGCACAUUGGGACUGAGAUACGGCCCAGACUCCUACGGGAGGCAGCAGUGGGGAAUAUUGCACAAUGGGGGAAACCCUGAUGCAGCGACGCCGCGUGAGUGAAGAAGUAUUUCGGUAUGUAAAGCUCUAUCAGCAGGGAAGAAAUGACGGUACCUGACUAAGAAGCCCGGCUAACUAACGUGCCAGCAGCCG
rnacentral:rRNA from 1 species